rnacentral:rRNA from 1 species
CACGUAGGCACCAAGCGUUGUCCGGAUUUAUUGGGCGUAAAGAGCUCGUAGGCGGUUCAGUAAGUCGGGUGUGAAAACUCUGGGCUCAACCCAGAGACGCCACCCGAUACCUGCUGCGACUUGAGUACGGUAGGGGAGUGGGGAAUUCCGUGGUGUAGCAGUGAAAUGCGCAGAUAUCAGGAGGAACACCAGUGGCGAAGGCGCCACUCUGGGCCGUAACUGACGCUGAGGAGCGAAAGCGUGGGUAGCAAACAGG